GGUUAAGCGACUAAGCGUACACGGUGGAUGCCCUGGCAGUCAGAGGCGAUGAAGGACGUGCUAAUCUGCGAUAAGCGUCGGUAAGGUGAUAUGAACCGUUAUAACCGGCGAUUUCCGAAUGGGGAAACCCAGUGUGAUUCGUCACACUAUCAUUAACUGAAUCCAUAGGUUAAUGAGGCGAACCGGGGGAACUGAAACAUCUAAGUACCCCGAGGAAAAGAAAUCAACCGAGAUUCCCCCAGUAGCGGCGAGCGAACGGGGAGCAGCCCAGAGCCUGAAUCAGUGUGUGUGUUAGUGGAAGCGUCUGGAAAGGCGUGCGAUACAGGGUGACAGCCCCGUACACAAAAAUGCACAUACUGUGAGCUCGAUGAGUAGGGCGGGACACGUGGUAUCCUGUCUGAAUAUGGGGGGACCAUCCUCCAAGGCUAAAUACUCCUGACUGACCGAUAGUGAACCAGUACCGUGAGGGAAAGGCGAAAAGAACCCCGGCGAGGGGAGUGAAAAAGAACCUGAAACCGUGUACGUACAAGCAGUGGGAGCACGCUUAGGCGUGUGACUGCGUACCUUUUGUAUAAUGGGUCAGCGACUUAUAUUCUGUAGCAAGGUUAACCGAAUAGGGGAGCCGAAGGGAAACCGAGUCUUAACUGGGCGUUAAGUUGCAGGGUAUAGACCCGAAACCCGGUGAUCUAGCCAUGGGCAGGUUGAAGGUUGGGUAACACUAACUGGAGGACCGAACCGACUAAUGUUGAAAAAUUAGCGGAUGACUUGUGGCUGGGGGUGAAAGGCCAAUCAAACCGGGAGAUAGCUGGUUCUCCCCGAAAGCUAUUUAGGUAGCGCCUCGUGAAUUCAUCUCCGGGGGUAGAGCACUGUUUCGGCAAGGGGGUCAUCCCGACUUACCAACCCGAUGCAAACUGCGAAUACCGGAGAAUGUUAUUACGGGAGACACACGGCGGGUGCUAACGUCCGUCGUGAAGAGGGAAACAACCCAGACCGCCAGCUAAGGUCCCAAAGUCAUGGUUAAGUGGGAAACGAUGUGGGAAGGCCCAGACAGCCAGGAUGUUGGCUUAGAAGCAGCCAUCAUUUAAAGAAAGCGUAAUAGCUCACUGGUCGAGUCGGCCUGCGCGGAAGAUGUAACGGGGCUAAACCAUGCACCGAAGCUGCGGCAGCGACGCUUAUGCGUUGUUGGGUAGGGGAGCGUUCUGUAAGCCUGUGAAGGUGUGCUGUGAGGUAUGCUGGAGGUAUCAGAAGUGCGAAUGCUGACAUAAGUAACGAUAAAGCGGGUGAAAAGCCCGCUCGCCGGAAGACCAAGGGUUCCUGUCCAACGUUAAUCGGGGCAGGGUGAGUCGACCCCUAAGGCGAGGCCGAAAGGCGUAGUCGAUGGGAAACAGGUUAAUAUUCCUGUACUUGGUGUUACUGCGAAGGGGGGACGGAGAAGGCUAUGUUGGCCGGGCGACGGUUGUCCCGGUUUAAGCGUGUAGGCUGGUUUUCCAGGCAAAUCCGGAAAAUCAAGGCCGAGGCGUGAUGACGAGGCACUACGGUGCUGAAGCAACAAAUGCCCUGCUUCCAGGAAAAGCCUCUAAGCAUCAGGUAACAUCAAAUCGUACCCCAAACCGACACAGGUGGUCAGGUAGAGAAUACCAAGGCGCUUGAGAGAACUCGGGUGAAGGAACUAGGCAAAAUGGUGCCGUAACUUCGGGAGAAGGCACGCUGAUACGUAGGUGAAGCGACUUGCUCGUGGAGCUGAAAUCAGUCGAAGAUACCAGCUGGCUGCAACUGUUUAUUAAAAACACAGCACUGUGCAAACACGAAAGUGGACGUAUACGGUGUGACGCCUGCCCGGUGCCGGAAGGUUAAUUGAUGGGGUUAGCGCAAGCGAAGCUCUUGAUCGAAGCCCCGGUAAACGGCGGCCGUAACUAUAACGGUCCUAAGGUAGCGAAAUUCCUUGUCGGGUAAGUUCCGACCUGCACGAAUGGCGUAAUGAUGGCCAGGCUGUCUCCACCCGAGACUCAGUGAAAUUGAACUCGCUGUGAAGAUGCAGUGUACCCGCGGCAAGACGGAAAGACCCCGUGAACCUUUACUAUAGCUUGACACUGAACAUUGAGCCUUGAUGUGUAGGAUAGGUGGGAGGCUUUGAAGUGUGGACGCCAGUCUGCAUGGAGCCGACCUUGAAAUACCACCCUUUAAUGUUUGAUGUUCUAACGUGGACCCGUGAUCCGGGUUGCGGACAGUGUCUGGUGGGUAGUUUGACUGGGGCGGUCUCCUCCUAAAGAGUAACGGAGGAGCACGAAGGUUGGCUAAUCCUGGUCGGACAUCAGGAGGUUAGUGCAAUGGCAUAAGCCAGCUUGACUGCGAGCGUGACGGCGCGAGCAGGUGCGAAAGCAGGUCAUAGUGAUCCGGUGGUUCUGAAUGGAAGGGCCAUCGCUCAACGGAUAAAAGGUACUCCGGGGAUAACAGGCUGAUACCGCCCAAGAGUUCAUAUCGACGGCGGUGUUUGGCACCUCGAUGUCGGCUCAUCACAUCCUGGGGCUGAAGUAGGUCCCAAGGGUAUGGCUGUUCGCCAUUUAAAGUGGUACGCGAGCUGGGUUUAGAACGUCGUGAGACAGUUCGGUC
rnacentral:rRNA from 1 species